AAAAAGGGCUUCUGCUGUGCCCAUGGCCACCCCUGCAGAAUCGACAUCAAGAGAUUUUGGAAGCACAAUUUUUGUCGUACAAGGAGUGACUGGGGUCGUUUAGUCUGGAGAAGAGGAUGCUGAGGGGAGACCUCCUGGCCCUCUGCAACUCCCUG
ensembl:snRNA